CGGCGCGCCUAACACAUGCAAGUCGAACGGAGCUUAGAGAGUUUGCUUUUUAAGCUUAGUGGCGAACGGGUGAGUAACGCGUGAGUAACCUGCCCUAGAGUGGGGGACAACAGUUGGAAACGACUGCUAAUACCGCAUAAGCCCACGGUACCGCAUGGUACUGAGGGAAAAGGAUUUAUUCGCUUUAGGAUGGACUCGCGUCCAAUUAGCUAGUUGGUGAGGUAACGGCCCACCAAGGCGACGAUCGGUAGCCGGACUGAGAGGUUGAACGGCCACAUUGGGACUGAGACACGGCCCAGACUCCUACGGGAGGCAGCAGUGGGGAAUAUUGCACAAUGGGGGAAACCCUGAUGCAGCGACGCCGCGUGGAGGAAGAAGGUCUUCGGAUUGUAAACUCCUGUUGUUGAGGAAGAUAAUGACGGUACUCAACAAGGAAGUGACGGCUAACUACGUG
rnacentral:rRNA from 1 species